UAUUGAGUACCUUUCGUCGGUCAGUAUCAUUGAAACCGUCGCAAUGGUACGAGUGUAUACACAGAUAUACUAAUUACACCGGAAAAUUGCGACAGCAGUGCUUCAGCUACAGCCGUAUAUUACAAAGAAAUAUUUGCACAUAGUCGUCACUAACAUUAACAUAUAGCACAAAUUAGCUUUGUUUGUAUUUUAAAUGAAAGAUUCUCGUAAACUCUGUCGAAGGUUGUUAUAUCUGUAGUCUUUUUCUACCCAGAAACACCAUAUUCAGUAGAAAUGAGCAUGAAGAACUUCUGAUCAAUUUCAAGAAGUAAGUAGGAAGGAUGUAAAUAAUGAUGGUAACGGUACGUUCGAUGAAGUGUUUGCUUCCCCGUUACUUCAUUGUAUUUAGAAUUGGUUAUUCGAGCUGGCAAUUAAAGCGAGGACAUAGUACCGAUUCAUGUGGAGGGGGUGAAGAAGAGAUGAUAACGGUAUCGAUAUCGCAGAUGCUCAAAGGAGGAGUCCAGAAAAUCACCAAAUUUAUUGUUCAGUAGAUAUUACCACGAUCAUACUGUGGCAAUAUGGGUCAAGGAUUAAUUUAAAUAUUUCAACUCUAAGAAUACCAUCAGUGAGCAACGAGCAAAGCUUAAAGAGAGGUGAUGAAGAGCAAAGAUAUUAUUAGUAUAUUAAGUUUUUACUAUUUAACCAUUCAGACCUGGUUUUUGAACUUACCUGACAACAAACGAUUGCUAUUUGAUACAACAUUGGUAAUGACAUCUAUUUUCAAUAAAAUAUGGUAUAAAAUAAAACUUCUAUAUAAUAAUAAAAUAAAAUACUAGUUUUCUGAUAAAAAUAGGCUCGAAACAAGGGUGUAUACAUGGUUGCUUGUUAUAAGUUUAAUAUUUUUGUUUACACUCGGUCAUCGAACUGUUUACCUUUAUUAAAACCUGUUUUAACGAAGUCACUAACGAAGUUCACCCAUUCACUGAAACGGUGGUAAAGAACACGUUAAAUAAUAAACAAACGGGAAAAAAAGGAUUUCACACUGAACGAGUGAUCAAACGAUCGAACAACUGAAUGGGUUGCUUUCAUCUCAGGUUGGCGAAAAGAAUAAUUAUAUUUUUAAAAACUCGUAGGUCGCGUUCGGUCGAUAGUCCCGAAAAAUUCAAAGUGAUUCGGACCUGCUCUCGUUCGAGGAGAGAAACCGAU